GGGUCCUUAGCUCAGUGGUAGAGCAUUUGACUGCAGAUCAAGAGGUCGCCGGUAGGGCCCU
rfam:Brassica napus, WGS project CCCW01000000 data, contig: 6024